GCCAAUGUAGCUCAGUCGGUAGAGCAACUGAUUCGUAAUCAGUAGGUCGGCAGUUCGAUUCUGCCCAUUGGCUCCA
rnacentral:tRNA from 1 species